GAAGACACAACUUCUCUUAUCUGAAGUCGGUGAUUGUUGGUUUGCAUUCUCAUCUCAUUAAAAAAUGGUUGUUCUUGCUGCAUCCAUUGUUAGCAAGUCUGGGAAAGUUCUUGUUUCUAGACAGUUUGUUGAUAUGUCUAGAAUCAGAAUUGAGGGCCUUCUUGCUGCUUUCCCAAAGUUGGUUGGAACUGGAAAACAGCAUACAUAUGUGGAGACAGAAAAUGUUCGCUAUGUUUACCAGCCAAUAGAAGCUUUAUACUUGCUUCUUGUAACAAAUAAACAGAGCAACAUCCUUGAAGAUUUGGACACCUU
rnacentral:misc_RNA from 1 species